GCUGGGGUUGUGGCUCAGUGGUAGAGAGCUUGCCUAGCAUGUGUGAGACAUUGGGUUCAAGUCUCAGCACAGCA
rnacentral:tRNA from 1 species